GGGGCGGCGGCUACCAUGCAAGUCGAGGGGUAACAGGGGAGUGCUUGCACUUUUGCUGACGACCGGCGCACGGGUGCGUAACGCGUAUACAACCUACCUUUUGGCGGGGAAUAGCCCAGGGAAACUUGGAUUAAUGCCCCAUAGUAUGGGAAUAUCUCCUGAUAUUUUCAUUAAACAUUUAUGGCCAUUAGAUGGGUAUGCGUCCUAUUAGUUAGUUGGUAAGGUAACGGCUUACCAAGGCAGCGAUAGGUAGGGGUCCUGAGAGGGAGAUCCCCCACACUGGUACUGAGACACGGACCAGACUCCUACGGGAGGCAGCAGUGAGGAAUAUUGGACAAUGGGCGAGAGCCUGAUCCAGCCAUGCCGCGUGCAGGAAGACUGCCCUAUGGGUUGUAAACUGCUUUUACAGAGGAAGAACCACUCCCACGUGUGGGAGUUUGACGGUACUCUGCGAAUAAGGAUCGGCUAACUCCGUGCCAGCAGCCGCGGUAAUACGGAGGAUCCAAGCGUUAUCCGGAAUCAUUGGGUUUAAAGGGUCCGUAGGCGGGCAGUUAAGUCAGUGGUGAAAGUCUUCCGCUCAACGGGAGAACUGCCAUUGAUACUGAUUGUCUUGAGUUAUUAUGAAGUGGUUAGAAUGAGUAGUGUAGCGGUGAAAUGCAUAGAUAUUACUCAGAAUACCGAUUGCGAAGGCAGAUCACUAAUAAUAUACUGACGCUGAUGGACGAAAGCGUAGGUAGCGAACAGGAUUAGAUACCCUGGUAGUCUACGCCGUAAACGAUGGUUACUAGCUGUUCGGAUCGAUUAAGAUCUGAGUGGUUAAGCGAAAGUGAUAAGUAACCCACCUGGGGAGUACGUUCGCAAGAAUGAAACUCAAAGGAAUUGACGGGGGCCCGCACAAGCGGUGGAGCAUGUGGUUUAAUUCGAUGAUACGCGAGGAACCUUACCAGGGCUUAAAUGUAGUCUGACAGGUCUGGAAACAGACUUUUCUUCGGACAGAUUACAAGGUGCUGCAUGGGUUGUCGUCAGCUCGUGCCGUGAGGUGUCAGGUUAAGUCCUAUAACGAGCGCAACCCCUGUGGUUAGUUGCCAGCGAGUAAUGUCGGGGACUCUAGCCAGACUGCGUGCAACCGCGAGGAAGUGGGGAUGACGUCAAUCAUCACGGCCUUACGUUCUGGGCCACACACGUGCUACAUGUAAGGACCGAGAGCAGCCCACUUCGCGAGAAGGAGCGUAAUCCUACGACUAUCACAGCUUCCGUAUCGCUAGCUGCACUCGACGGCCAUGGA
rnacentral:rRNA from 1 species